CCUGACUCUGAAUGUCAAAGGAUCGAGGUUGCAACAUACAAACAAAGAACAAAUCUGAUUUCUGGAAGAAAGAUUCAUGGCUUUGCCUGAUACCAACGAGACAACGGAAGGAGAAUGUAAAGAAAGAGAAAUCAAUGAGAAACCAGUGAAAGAUUACCUCCCUCUUGCUGUUGAUAACGAAAGCACCAACGCCCACACGAUGUGAAGCAUUUGCAGGAAGGGUAUCAGGGGUAUCAGGGAUCCAAUAUACAAGCAUCAAGUAAUCUGGCUCAGCAUGGUGAUACCUAAAUCCAGCCUACAAAAUAAAAAAGAGUUGUUUGUUAGGAUUCACAUUCAGGCACUGUCUAAGCUAUAUGCUGCAGUAAAAUAUAUAUUCAGCAACAUAUAAAUGAAGGACUCAUAUAUCCAAAUUAUUUAUGUGGUUGCUCUUAACUCAGUGACCACAUGAGUCUUUUGUAUUUACUUAUUUGUACUUAUCUACCCGCAAAAGUACUUAUUUGAGAGAGCUGAUGAAAACAACUUAUAACAUGUCUACAAGUUCUUCAGGAUA